UAUUCCAGAGCCUGGCAGAGCCCUGGAUGCUGUCUAUGAGGAGCUGGACUACACCGGGAUGCCGGAGUACCAGAAGGUGCCCAGUCGCCCAGGCUCCCCAACAGAGGGCUCAGAGACGAAGCUGCCCUAUUACACUGCAGAGGAUGUGGAGGAGAGUGACCCCGGCGCAGCCCCAGGCCCCCCUGCCCUGCCUGAGGACGGACCCCCUGAU